GGUGGCUGGCAGCUGUGACCGCCACUCUCAAACCUCCAUCAGGUGGCAGGACGGCUGAGGAGGCGUGGGCCGUCAUCCCACAGUCCAACUCUACUGAGCAGACUCUGGCUCCAAAUGACAUCACACAAGCAAGAUGGCCGCACCCGGAAAGGAGAUGUCUUGGCUUCACUUUUGCUUAACGAUUCCCUGCUCUGUGCACUGUCAAACCCCUGGAAACUUGCUCACAGUGUCUCUCCUGUUCUCUCAACAUCUCUGCUGUGUCACAAGGGAAGCAGCUAUAGGAAAGCACUCAGAGAAUGGUAACUGGAUGGUGUAGAGUUCUUUAACUUAGACAAAACUGGAUUCAAACACAUUUUGGACCUCGUCUACUACUUCAGGCUUCUUAAGGUCAGACAUGGGUCACUUCUGGGGGCCAGCAUAGACCUGCUAGCAAUCCU